UCGAACGCGAAAGUCCCGCAAGGGAUAAGUAGAGUGGCAAACGGGUGAGUAACACGUGGGUGACCUGCCUUCGAGCGGGGGAUAACGUCCCGAAAGGGACGCUAAUACCGCAUAACAUCCUGCCUUUUAAGAGGUGGAGAUCAAAGCCGGGGACCGCAAGGCCUGGCACUUGAAGAGGGGCCCGCGUCUGAUUAGCUAGUUGGUGAGGUAAUGGCUCACCAAGGCAACGAUCAGUAUCCGGCCUGAGAGGGCGGACGGACACACUGGGACUGAGACACGGCCCAGACUCCUACGGGAGGCAGCAGUGGGGAAUUGUUCGCAAUGGGCGCAAGCCUGACGACGCAACGCCGCGUGGAGGAUGAAGACCUUCGGGUCGUAAACUCCUUUCGAUCGAGACGAAUGGCUUCCGGGUGAACAAUCCGGAAGAGUGACGGUACCGAGAGAAGAAGCCCCGGCUAACUCCGUGCCAGCAGCCGCGGUAAUACGGGGGGGGCAAGCGUUGUUCGGAAUUACUGGGCGUAAAGGGCUCGUAGGCGGCCAACUAAGUCAGACGUGAAAUCCCUCGGCUUAACCGGGGAACUGCGUCUGAUACUGGAUGGCUUGAGAUUGGGAGAGGGAUGCGGAAUUCCAGGUGUAGCGGUGAAAUGCGUAGAUAUCUGGAGGAACACCGGUGGCGAAGGCGGCAUCCUGGACCAACACUGACGCUGAGGAGCGAAAGCCAGGGGAGCAAACGGGAUUAGAUACCCCGGUAGUCCUGGCCCUAA
rnacentral:rRNA from 1 species